GGUGAACGCUGGCGGCAUGCUUAAGACAUGCAAGUCGAACGGCAGUCUUCGGACUGUAGUGGCGCACGGGUGAGUAACGCGUAACUGACCUACCCCAAAGUCGCGGAUAACGAUUCGAAAGAAUCGCUAAUACGUGAUGUGCUGUCAGAUUGUGUUCUGCCAGUAAAGAUUGAUUGCUUUGGGAUGGGGUUGCGUUCCAUCAGCUAGUUGGUGGGGUAAAGGCCCACCAAGGCGACGACGGAUAGCCGGCCUGAGAGGGUGGCCGGCCACAGGGGCACUGAGACACGGGUCCCACUCCUACGGGAGGCAGCAGUUAGGAAUCUUCCACAAUGGGCGAAAGCCUGAUGGAGCGACGCCGCGUGAGGGAUGAAGGUCUUCGGAUCGUAAACCUCUGAAUCAGGGACGAAAGACACUUCGGUGGGAUGACGGUACCUGAGUAAUAGCACCAGCUAACUCCGUGCCAGCCGCCGCAGUAACAC
rnacentral:rRNA from 1 species